GACGAACCGUGCGAACGUUGUUCGGAAUCACUGGGCUUAAAGGGCGCGUAGGCGGGCUCGCAAGUCAGGGGUGAAAGCCCGCGGCUCAACCGCGGAAGCGCCUUUGAUACUGCGGGCCUCGAGGGGGGUAGGGGCGUGCGGAACUUCCGGUGGAGCGGUGAAAUGCGUAGAUAUCGGAAGGAACACCGGUGGCGAAAGCGGCGCGCUGGACCCCCACUGACGCUGAGGCGCGAAAGCGUGGGGAGCAAACAGG
rnacentral:rRNA from 1 species